rnacentral:rRNA from 1 species
CAGUAGCCGCGGUAAUACGAAGGGUGCAAGCGUUAAUCGGAAUUACUGGGCGUAAAGCGUGCGUAGGCGGUGAGUUAAGUCUGCUGUGAAAUCCCCGGGCUCAACCUGGGAAUGGCAGUGGAUACUGGCUCGCUAGAGUGUGUCAGAGGAUGGUGGAAUUCCCGGUGUAGCGGUGAAAUGCGUAGAGAUCGGGAGGAACAUCAGUGGCGAAGGCGGCCAUCUGGGACAACACUGACGCUGAGGCACGAAAGCGUGGGGAGCCAACAGGAUUAGAUACCCGCGUAGUCCCUGUCUCUUAUAA